rnacentral:rRNA from 1 species
AUUGAACGCUGGCGGCAGGCCUAACACAUGCAAGUCGAACGGUAACAGGAAGAAGCUUGCUUCUUUGCUGACGAGUGGCGGACGUGUGAGUAAUGUCUGGGAAACUGCCUGAUGGAGGGGGAUAACUACUGGAAACGGUAGCUAAUACCGCAUAACGUCGCAAGACCAAAGAGGGGUACCUUCGGGCCUCUUGCCAUCGGAUGUGCCCAGAUGGGAUUAGCUAGUAGGUGGGGUAACGGCUCACCUAGGCGACGAUCCCUAGCUGGUCUGAGAGGAUGACCAGCCACACUGGAACUGAGACACGGUCCAGACUCCUACGGGAGGCAGCAGUGGGGAAUAUUGCACAAUGGGCGAAAGCCUGAUGCAGCCAUGCCGCGUGUAUGAAGAAGGCCUUCGGGUUGUAAAGUACUUUCAGCGGGGAGGAAGGGAGUAAAGUUAAUACCUUUGCUCAUUGACGUUACCCGCAGAAGAAGCACCGGCUAACUACGUG